rnacentral:rRNA from 1 species
CAGCAGCCACGGUAAUACGUAGGGUGCGAGCGUUAAUCGGAAUUACUGGGCGUAAAGCGUGCGCAGGCGGUUGUGUAAGACAGGUGUGAAAUCCCCGGGCUUAACCUGGGAACUGCGCUUGUGACUGCACAGCUAGAGUAUGGCAGAGGGGGGUGGAAUUCCACGUGUAGCAGUGAAAUGCGUAGAGAUGUGGAGGAACACCGAUGGCGAAGGCAGCCCCCUGGGCCAAUACUGACGCUCAUGCACGAAAGCGUGGGGAGCAAACAGGAUUAGAUACCCCUGUAGUCCCUGUCUCUUAUAA